GACGAACGCUGGCGGCGUGCCUAAUACAUGCAAGUAGAACGCAGUUGCGAACGGGUGAGUAACGCGUAGGUACCUGCCUCAUAGCGGGGGAUAACUAUUGGAAACGCUAGCUAAUACCGCAUACUGUGAGAUGGACCUGCGUUGUAUUAGCUAGUUGGUGGGGUAACGGCUCACCAAGGCGACGAUACAUAGCCGACCUGAGAGGGGGAUCGGCCACAUGGGGACGGAGAAACGGCCAAACCUCCUACGGGAGGCAGCAGUAGGGAAUCUUCGGCAAGGGACGAAAGUCUGACCGGGCAACGCCGCGUGAGUGAAGAGGGUUUUCGGAUCGUAAAACCCUGUUGUUAGAGAAGCGGUAUCUAACCAGAAAGCCACGGCUAACUACGUGCCAGCAGCCGCGGUAAUAC
rnacentral:rRNA from 1 species